rnacentral:tRNA from 1 species
GGUUGUGGCUCAGGGGUAGAGCACUUGCCUAGCAUGUGUGAGGCACUGGGUUUGAUCCUCAGCACCA